GGGGGGGGGGGGGGGGGGGCGGGGGGGGGGGGGGGGGGGGGGGGGGGGGGGGGCUGGGGCCUCUGACGGUGGCGGGGGAGGGGGGGGGAGCGGGUGGGUAACGUACCUAUACGGCUGGGAGAACUUCGGGAAAGCGGGUCUAAGUCCGAUUAAUAUAUUGAACCGCAUGGUUUCAUGGGGAAAGCCGGUUUUGCUGUAACUUAUAGAUGGAUCCGCGCCGCCUUAGCUAGUUGGUAAGGUAACGGCUUACCAAGGCAACGAUGCGUAGCCGACCUGAGAGGGUGAUCGGCCACACUGGAACUGAGACACGGUCCAGACUCCUACGGGAGGCAGCAGUAGGGAAUAUUCCGCAAAGGGCGAAAGCCUGACGGAGCAACGCCGCGUGAGUGAUGAAGGUCUUCGGAUCGUAAAACUCUGUUAUUAGGGAAGAACAAAUGUGUAAGUAACUAUGCACGUCUUGACGGUACCUAAUCAGAAAGCCACGGCUAACUACGUG
rnacentral:rRNA from 1 species